GAUGAACGCUGGCGGCGUGCCUAAUACAUGCAAGUCGAGCGAACGGACGAGAAGCUUGCUUCUCUGAUGUUAGCGGCGGACGGGUGAGUAACACGUGGAUAACCUACCUAUAAGACUGGGAUAACUUCGGGAAACCGGAGCUAAUACCGGAUAAUAUUUUGAACCGCAUGGUUCAAAAGUAAAAGACGGUCUUGCUGUCACUUAUAGAUGGAUCCGCGCUGCAUUAGCUAGUUGGUAAGGUAACGGCUUACCAAGGCAACGAUGCAUAGCCGACCUGAGAGGGUGCUCGGCCACACUGGAACUGGGACACGGUCCAGACUCCUACGGGAGGCAGCAGUAGGGAAUCUUCCGCAAUGGGCGCAAGCCUGACGGAGCAACGCCGCGUGAGUGAUGAAGGUCUUCGGAUCGUAAAACUCUGUUAUUAGGGAAGAACAUAUGUGUAAGUAACUGUGCACAUCUUGACGGUACCUAAUCAGAAAGCCACGGCUAACUACGUGC
rnacentral:rRNA from 1 species